rnacentral:rRNA from 1 species
GAUGAACGCUAGCUACAGGCUUAACACAUGCAAGUCGAGGGGCAGCAUGAAGUUUGCUUGCAAACUUUGAUGGCGACCGGCGCACGGGUGAGUAACGCGUAUCCAACCUGCCCCGUACUCGGGUAUAGCCCAGCGAAAGCUGGAUUAAUCCCCGAUGUCACCUUUAUGGUGCAUGCCAUGGUGAGGAAAGAUUUAUCACUGACAGAUGGACAUGCGUCCCAUUAGCUGGUUGGUAGGGUAACGGCCUACCAAGGCAACGAUGGGUAGGGGAACUGAGAGGUUUAUCCCCCACAUUGGUACUGAGACACGGACCAA